GUCAGCUCGUGUCGUGAGAUGUUGGGUUAAGUCCCGCAACGAGCGCAACCCUUAACUUUAGUUGCCAGCAGGUAAUGCUGGGCACUCUAGAGUGACUGCCGGUGACAAACCGGAGGAAGGUGGGGAUGACGUCAAAUCAUCAUGCCCCUUAUGACCUGGGCUACACACGUACUACAAUGGCCGGUACAACGGGAAGCGAAGCCGCGAGGUGGAGCCAAUCCCAUCAAAGCCGGUCUCAGUUCGGAUUGCAGGCUGCAACUCGCCUGCAUGAAGUCGGAAUUGCUAGUAAUCGCGGAUCAGCAUGCCGCGGU
rnacentral:rRNA from 1 species